GGGUAGAGCAAUUGGUAGCUCGUCGGGCUCAUAACCCGGAGGUCGCAGGUUCAAAUCCUGUCCCC
rnacentral:tRNA from 1 species